ACACAUGCAAGUCGAACGGUAGGGGGGGCAACCCCUCGAGAGUGGCGAACGGGUGAGUAAUAUAUCGGAACGUGCCCAGUCGUGGGGGAUAACGUAGCGAAAGUUACGCUAAUACCGCAUACGAUCUACGGAUGAAAGCGGGGGACCGUAAGGCCUCGCGCGAUUGGAGCGGCCGAUAUCAGAUUAGGUAGUUGGUGGGGUAAAGGCUCACCAAGCCAACGAUCUGUAGCUGGUCUGAGAGGACGACCAGCCACACUGGAACUGAGACACGGUCCAGACUCCUACGGGAGGCAGCAGUGGGGAAUUUUGGACAAUGGACGCAAGUCUGAUCCAGCCAUUCCGCGUGCAGGAUGAAGGCCCUCGGGUUGUAAACUGCUUUUGUACGGAACGAAAAGGUCUCUCUUAAUACGAGGGGCUCAUGACGGUACCGUAAGAAUAAGCACCGGCUAACUACGUGCCAGCAGCCGCGGUAAUACGUAGGGUGCAAGCGUUAAUCGGAAUUACUGGGCGUAAAGCGUGCGCAGGCGGUUAUGUAAGACAGAGGUGAAAUCCCCGGGCUCAACCUGGGAACUGCCUUUGUGACUGCAUAGCUAGAGUACGGUAGAGGGGGAUGGAAUUCCGCGUGUAGCAGUGAAAUGCGUAGAUAUGCGGAGGAACACCGAUGGCGAAGGCAAUCCCCUGGACCUGUACUGACGCUCAUGCACGAAAGCGUGGGGAGCAAACAGGAUUAGAUACCCUGGUAGUCCACGCCCUAAACGAUGUCAACUGGUUGUUGGGUCUUCACUGACUCAGUAACGAAGCUAACGCGUGAAGUUGACCGCCUGGGGAGUACGGCCGCAAGGUUGAAACUCAAAUGAAUUGACG
rnacentral:rRNA from 1 species